rnacentral:rRNA from 1 species
AACGAACGCUGGCGGCAGGCUUAACACAUGCAAGUCGAGCGAGACCUUCGGGUCUAGCGGCGGACGGGUGAGUAACGCGUGGGAACGUGCCCUUCUCUACGGAAUAGCCCCGGGAAACUGGGAGUAAUACCGUAUACGCCCUUUGGGGGAAAGAUUUAUCGGAGCAGGAUCGGCCCGCGUUGGAUUAGGUAGUUGGUGGGGUAAUGGCCCACCAAGCCGACGAUCCAUAGCUGGUUUGAGAGGAUGAUCAGCCACACUGGGACUGAGACACGGCCCAGACUCCUACGGGAGGCAGCAGUGGGGAAUCGUAGACAAUGGGGGCAACACUGAUCUAGCCAUGCCGCGUGAGUGAUGAAGGCCUUAGGGUUGUAAAGCUCUUUCAGCUGGGAAGAUAAUGACGGUACCAGCAGAAGAAGCCCCGGCUAACUACGUG